GAUGAACGCUGGCGGCGUGCCUAAUACAUGCAAGUCGAGCGAACAGACGAGGAGCUUGCUCCUCUGACGUUAGCGGCGGACGGGUGAGUAACACGUGGAUAACCUACCUAUAAGACUGGGAUAACUUCGGGAAACCGGAGCUAAUACCGGAUAAUAUAUUGAACCGCAUGGUUCAAUAGUGAAAGACGGUUUUGCUGGCACUUAUAGCUGGAUCCGCGCCGCAUUAGCUAGUUGGUAAGGUAACGGCUUACCAAGGCAACGAUGCGUAGCCGACCUGAGAGGGUGAUCGGCCACACUGGAACUGAGACACGGUCCAGACUCCUACGGGAGGCAGCAGUAGGGAAUCUUCCGCAAUGGGCGAAAGCCUGACGGAGCAACGCCGCGUGAGUGAUGAAGGUCUUCGGAUCGUAAAACUCUGUUAUUAGGGAAGAACAAAUGUGUAAGUAACUAUGCACGUCUUGACGGUACCUAAUCAGAAAGCCACGGCUAACUACGUG
rnacentral:rRNA from 1 species